rnacentral:rRNA from 1 species
AGAGUUUGAUCAUGGCUCAGAUUGAACGCUGGCGGCAGGCCUAACACAUGCAAGUCGAGCGGUAGCACAGAGAGCUUGCUCUCGGGUGACGAGCGGCGGACGGGUGAGUAAUGUCUGGGAAACUGCCUGAUGGAGGGGGAUAACUACUGGAAACGGUAGCUAAUACCGCAUAACGUCGCAAGACCAAAGUGGGGGACCUUCGGGCCUCAUGCCAUCAGAUGUGCCCAGAUGGGAUUAGCUAGUAGGUGGGGUAAUGGCUCACCUAGGCGACGAUCCCUAGCUGGUCUGAGAGGAUGACCAGCCACACUGGAACUGAGACACGGUCCAGACUCCUACGGGAGGCAGCAGUGGGGAAUAUUGCACAAUGGGCGCAAGCCUGAUGCAGCCAUGCCGCGUGUAUGAAGAAGGCCUUCGGGUUGUAAAGUACUUUCAGCGAGGAGGAAGGCGUUAAGGUUAAUAACCUUAGCGAUUGACGUUACUCGCAGAAGAAGCACCGGCUAACUCCGUGCCAGCAGCCGCGGUAAUACGGAGGGUGCAAGCGUUAAUCGGAAUUACUGGGCGUAAAGCGCACGCAGGCGGUCUGUCAAGUCGGAUGUGAAAUCCCCGGGCUCAACCUGGGAACUGCAUUCGAAACUGGCAGGCUAGAGUCUUGUAGAGGGGGGUAGAAUUCCAGGUGUAGCGGUGAAAUGCGUAGAGAUCUGGAGGAAUACCGGUGGCGAAGGCGGCCCCCUGGACAAAGACUGACGCUCAGGUGCGAAAGCGUGGGGAGCAAACAGGAUUAGAUACCCUGGUAGUCCACGCCGUAAACGAUGUCGACUUGGAGGUUGUGCCCUUGAGGCGUGGCUUCCGGAGCUAACGCGUUAAGUCGACCGCCUGGGGAGUACGGCCGCAAGGUUAAAACUCAAAUGAAUUGACGGGGGCCCGCACAAGCGGUGGAGCAUGUGGUUUAAUUCGAUGCAACGCGAAGAACCUUACCUACUCUUGACAUCCAGAGAACUUAGCAGAGAUGCUUUGGUGCCUUCGGGAACUCUGAGACAGGUGCUGCAUGGCUGUCGUCAGCUCGUGUUGUGAAAUGUUGGGUUAAGUCCCGCAACGAGCGCAACCCUUAUCCUUUGUUGCCAGCGGUCCGGCCGGGAACUCAAAGGAGACUGCCAGUGAUAAACUGGAGGAAGGUGGGGAUGACGUCAAGUCAUCAUGGCCCUUACGAGUAGGGCUACACACGUGCUACAAUGGCAUAUACAAAGAGAAGCGACCUCGCGAGAGCAAGCGGACCUCAUAAAGUAUGUCGUAGUCCGGAUUGGAGUCUGCAACUCGACUCCAUGAAGUCGGAAUCGCUAGUAAUCGUAGAUCAGAAUGCUACGGUGAAUACGUUCCCGGGCCUUGUACACACCGCCCGUCACACCAUGGGAGUGGGUUGCAAAAGAAGUAGGUAGCUUAACCUUCGGGAGGGCGCUUACCACUUUGUGAUUCAUGACUGGGGUGAAGUCGUAACAAGGUAACCGUAGGGGAACCUGCGGUUG